rnacentral:tRNA from 1 species
GCUUCGGUAGUUUAAUGGAUCAGCACGGUAGAUCGGAUAUCUGUAAGUGCGGGUUCGACUUCCGCCUGAAGCU